rnacentral:lncRNA from 10 species
GGCAAUGCAGGACCGCUUCCAGAGAUUCCAGAGCUGCCCAGUAUUGCUGCAGAAGUCAUCAGGUGUCCACCCACAGUGUAGUUCAAACGACAAAGGCACGUAGAAGAAUACAGAGGACUUGUGCAUCAAACAUCUCAGUUAAUCCUCAGAACAAUUUGAGUGUUCCCAUUUGACUACUUGAGGUGACAUAGCCAAUAAGAGCUGGAGCCAGGACUCAGACAUAGGCCAUCAUUUCUAAGUAAAAUUAUUUUUCUAAGGAAAACAUUACACAUAUUAGAAGGAUGCAUUCCUCAGGGUUUUGUGAGACUGUGAAGAUAAUUAUUCGUGAUCAGAGAAGUGUUCUUGCUUCAGCAGUCUUGGGAUUGGCGUCUAUAGUCUGUACGGGCUUGGUAUCAUACACUACCCUUCCUGCAAUUUUUAUUCCAUUCUUCCUAUGGAUGGCUGGCUAACUUCAUACCCCCAUGUCAGUGUGUGUAUUCUGUAUGUAAAUAUG